rnacentral:rRNA from 1 species
ACGGGAGGCAGCAGUGGGGAAUAUUGCACAAUGGGCGCAAGCCUGAUGCAGCAACGCCGCGUGAGGGAUGACGGCCUUCGGGUUGUAAACCUCUUUUAGCAGGGAAGAAGCGAAAGUGACGGUACCUGCAGAAAAAGCGCCGGCUAACUACGUGCCAGCAGCCGCGGUAAUACGUAGGGCGCAAGCGUUAUCCGGAAUUAUUGGGCGUAAAGAGCUCGUAGGCGGUUUGUCGCGUCUGCUGUGAAAUCCCGAGGCUCAACCUCGGGUCUGCAGUGGGUACGGGCAGACUAGAGUGCGGUAGGGGAGAUUGGAAUUCCUGGUGUAGCGGUGGAAUGCGCAGAUAUCAGGAGGAACACCGAUGGCGAAGGCAGAUCUCUGGGCCGUAACUGACGCUGAGGAGCGAAAGGGUGGGGAGCAAACAGGCUUAGAUACCCUGGUAGUCCACCCCGUAAACGUUGGGAACUAGUUGUGGGGUCCAUUCCACGGAUUCCGUGACGCAGCUAACGCAUUAAGUUCCCCGCCUGGGGAGUACGGCCGCAAGGCUAAAACUCAAAGGAAUUGAC